CUAGGAUCUUCUGUUCAGGUGGCCUGCCAUUGCUCAAUGCAGCUGCCCAGCGCAGCUCCUUCUGUCUGCAGCUCAUCAGAUAGCCGUUGAAAAAAAAAAAAAAAUCCUGUUAAAAACUAUGGGGAAAAAAACAAAAACAAAUCCCGCCUGCACAGGUCAGCCUGUGCCCCCCCCCCGUUUCCACGGCAACCGCCCGCCGGCGGGUCGGAAGUGGCUGCCACCCCGCGCGGGGCACGCCGGGAGUUGUAGUCCCGCCGCUCCGCUCCCCGAGCCAGGAAAAUCCCGAGGGAAAAGCUUGGAUAUGUGCGGGGAAAAAAGGGUGUAUAGAGGGACUGAGGGCUGCGUUGUGCCAGGCAGGCAGUGGCUGGGGUCAUCACACGUGGGGCAGCCGUAGGGAAGGAGCUGGCUCUGCAUCCCAAGCUGCAGCCAAAAUUCUCUUGAUUUGAGGUUGUUGCUUUGGUGUGCUGUGCUGCUGUGGGGUUUGUGACCCUGUCCCCCUGCUGCUGCACCCUGGCCCAAGGUGAGCGCGUGCUGCUGAGGAAACACAGCAGGUGGUGGCUUUUCGUUGUUAAAUCAGGACAGGGACUCUCCAGGUGCGUGGCUACUCUGACCCUUCAAGCGAGCUGCAAGCAGUGUGGCCUCUUGUGAUGUGCAGUGCCCAUGGUGCUUUAUAACAGCGAGGACAGGUUGCGUUACAGGAAGAAGCAUCACUGUGUACAUUUCUUUACAGGGCCUUGGAUUAUUCUGACUUUUAAUUACAGAACGUGACAGAUGAGCCCUAAUGAAAUACUUGUUCCUGACCUGUGUUUCUCUGGUUUCAUUAUCUGCAUCUUUCCGAGUUUGUGUUGUAGCUACAUGUUUAUUACACGUGCUCACACACAUGCUUACCCAUGUAGCUCCCACGUUUUAUUCAGCUUAUUCCCACAAUUCACCUUGAGGUUCCUAUUGCCAUUUUACAGAGAUGAUGAUGAAAGUGUGGAGCUCAAGGUUAAACUUCAAAACUGGUUAAAAGUUUUCAGUUCUCAUAAAGAAAAAGACCCUAAAACUCAGAGGUCAGCUUUAAAACUCCCCGGUGGAUUUGCCCAGAGCUUACAGGGACCAUAACAAAACUGGAAACUGAGCGGUAACGCCCCAGCCUGUGCUCCUGUCUUCCUCAUUGAUUGAAAGUAGGAAAAAAAAAAAAAAGAGAAAAUUUGUUUCCCCCUGUGUUUGCCAACCCAACUCAGCAAGGCUGCCACAUACAGGUCCAACAUGGCAUGGGGCAUCAAAGGGCUGUUUCUGCACCCGACGUUGAGUGAAGGAUCCCACGUUUGAGGGCACAUUCUCAUUUCUGUGUAGUGCUGAACAAACACAUCAUUCCUUUCGUGCAAAUAACUCUGCCUUGAGUUGGUAAAUCUGCAGGUAGGCCUGGCAGGAAGCAAAACAAAGAGGCUGGAAAUAAAUAUUUGAAAAGUCACAAUGAUGGCUGUGACACCAGACCAGCUGUGGCACGUAGCCCCUGCUCUGCUACAGACAAAACCCCCUUGUGUUUGUAGGGAGAAGGGAGAGCUGUAAGGGAAGAGGGGAAGAAAUAUCAGGCUGGCAGGGCUUGGGUUUAGGCUAGUGGCUUGUUUUGUAGCAAGAAAUAACCCUUUCUAGCCCUGUGACUCAGGAUUUUCUGUGUAGCUUAAGGCAUUUUUGUUACCCUAGCAAAUUAAAAUGUUUUUUCCUCACUACGCAUGGUCAAAGCGCCAACUUCUUUUAAUCCUGUCACUAGCCAGCACCUCUCCCUCAGCCCUAGUGCUGUGCUAGGUACAAGUGGUCCAGCUCCAGCCCUUUUUUGAUUAU